rnacentral:rRNA from 1 species
GGGGCGGGCUUUACACAUGCAAGUCGAGCGAGGUCCAACUGGGGGCAACCCCAGGGAAGACCUAGCGGCGAACGGGUGAGUAACACGUGAGGAACCUGCCCCAGAGUGCGGGAUAACUCGAGGAAACUCGGGCUAAUACUGCAUGCCUUCGUCGAGUGGCAUCUCUCGACGAAGAAAGAAUCUCGCUCUGGGAGGGCCUCGCGGCCUAUCAGCUUGUUGGUGGGGUAACGGCCUACCAAGGCAACGACGGGUAGCUGGUCUGAGAGGACGAUCAGCCACACUGGGACUGAGACACGGCCCAGACUCCUACGGGAGGCAGCAGUGGGGAAUUUUGCGCAAUGGGCGAGGGGGUGACGCAGCAACGCCGCGUGCGGGAAGAAGGCCCUCGGGUUGUAAACCGCUUUCAGCAGGAACGAAACUGACGGUACCUGCAGAUGAAGCCCCGGCCAACUACGUGCCAGCAGCCGCGGUAAUAAUCGG